rnacentral:piRNA from 1 species
GGCGGGGGCAUGAUGUAUCCUCAAAUUU